CAGUCGCCGCGGUAAUACGUAGGUCCCGAGCGUUGUCCGGAUUUAUUGGGCGUAAAGCGAGCGCAGGCGGUUAGAUAAGUCUGAAGUUAAAGGCUGUGGCUUAACCUUAGUACGCUUUGGAAACUGUUUAACUUGAGUGCAAGAGGGGAGAGUGGAAUUCCACGUGUAGCGGUGAAAUGCGUAGAUAUAUGGAGGAACACCGGUGGUGAAAGCGGCUCUCUGGCUUGUAACUGACGCUGAGGCUCGAAAGCGUGGGGAGCAAACAGGAUUAGAUACCCCCGUAGUCCCUGUCUCUUAUACA
rnacentral:rRNA from 1 species